rnacentral:lncRNA from 1 species
GAGGCAGGUGAGAGGGCUGCGCCGCUGGGAUGCUGGGGCUCCUGAAGACCCGCGUCCCGAGGAAAGGGAAGUUGGAGACCUAGUCCGUCCCCACACUGACGCUCCCGGCGCGGGAGCAGCGCAGAGACGAGAUUGGUUUCAGAACCAAUGAAGAAGAACUCUAAGGCAGAGCCAGGUGGUGUCCAUGAAAACCUUAAGAGAAGGGGGCAAUUAAAUCAUCAUCGACAGCCUCAGCCUCGGAUUCAAAUGUUGCAGAUAUGAGCAUCGUGUCCCUGGUUGUAGGGUGUGAUGAUGCACGGCCAGGAAGUCUUUGAAUCUUCUGGUCCUGAAACUGCGAAGAAGUCAGAGUUCCCCUCUUCCACCACCUCAGCACCUUUAUCCUAGGGCUGCUGAGCUAGGGUUGUUGGGUAUCCUUGUGCAGGCCUUCAAGAAGAACUGAUUUCCUGGCAUUGCAACCAGAGAAGAAUUGGCUUGUCAAACAGGAAUUCCAGAAUCUCAAAUCCAGAUGUGGUUUCAGAACUGAAGAGCUCUGCACCCAGAGCAGAGCAGAGGUGGGCCCGUGAAGGUACUGGCAGAAGGCCCCAGUGCCGGACUAGCUCUGACUGUUUCGUAGGACCAGAGCCACCUGUCCACUGCCCACAGUAGCUCUCAUCAUUUUCCUCCCUCCAGUCUGCUUGAGAGCAUCCAGUCCUUGGCCACAGCAGCUCCUUUUCUCUCCCCCAUGUUCUUUGUUCCUCGUGUUCCCUCUAGGGGCAGGGGGGCUCGUCAUUGAGGUCCGUGGUGGUGCAGCCCACUCUGCUGUGCAGGGAAGAGAGAAGCUGAACCUCUGGGAGCAGUUGCAAGUCACUCCUAAGCAGGACCAAAUCCGGGACUGGGUCUCCACCUGUUCACACAGCUCUCUGGCCUCCAUCCCAGGGAACAUGCCAGGAGAACAACCUGCACACUGGCCUGGCCGCACUCCCCCUCCAAGACUGCCCUCAGCCUGACCUUGGCAAUCCUCAGCCGCACCUGCAGGAUCUGGCUUGGCUAUGCGUAUCCCAAACGAUGCAGUGGUGGCGCUAGGGGACCCACGUUGUCAUCUCCAGAUGGGAGCCUCAGGAAUGGAGGAUUCUGCAGCCUGCACAGGCUGAGACACAUGUCUGGCCACAGCAGGCGCUCUGGUGAAGAGACAUCUCCUCCGCUGGAUCAGCACCCAGCACUUGGAAGCUCAUCAAGCCUCUUAGAUGGACUCUUGUCAGCCUCAGACAUUCAGGACAAGGCGCAGCCUUUCCUGAAGGCAGAUGCACGGGGAGAGGAACCACCGGGAAUCCCGGAAGCAGCCCUCAGCAAGGAAAGAAUUUCAGGCUCUUCUUGACACGCUCCCAAGCUCACCAGGGCCUCAGACUUAGGAGGAGGAAGGAAACCUUCUCCCGAGCCCCUUCCAGGCCUUCUUUCCUGGGAGGCAGGGCCAUAAUGAUAAAAAGAAGGAACAAGCAGCCCUUAGUGUUCGGGAGCAGCACGUAGGCAAGAAGACCCAUCCUUCACUUGAAAACCCUCUGUCCUAUUGGUGGCACUUUGUUGCCUCAGUGAGUGUUGCCCAGCUCCACACAAACUCUUAGGAAGCAUGGACACCAGGAGGGGCACCCUUCCUGAAGCCUUAAGGAAAUCUAGCAUUUUAAUGACAAAUGUGACCCAACUCUUCUGUCUGCACCAUCCCUGAACUGGAGUCGAAACAAGUCAAGGAGAUUAGGUAGAAGAAGGACUCAUUCACACAUGUUACCUUCCUGGCAAGAUGGGAAGGUAUAUCUGAAGUGUGCUUGGUGUAUAGAAGAGGAGGGGAUGUGAUGUGGCUCAAACGUGGGUCCAGGAACGUGAGCUCUUAUCAUGGCUGUGAAUGUCGGCUCUGGCAACUGGAAGCAACUUAGGCCUCUUAACUAGCGAUGAUUGCUUCAAAGCUUCAGUCCUUCAUAGAGUGGAGACUUUGCAUAUUAUUUGCCCCGGGAACAUUUGCAAUAUAAAAAAUGGCGGGGAAAGGUACAAUAGCAUCUCUAACCCGUGACUCAGGAAAGGAUAGGAACUUUGCUCUUUCCAUCAUUUUAGCAUGUUUGUAUGUAUGGGCCUGUAUACGUACCUGUACUUUUUCCAUGUGGAUUUUGAAAAAAGUCUAUGUUCUGAGGCUCUUGGUGGUCUUCCAUCAACAGGACCUGCUGCAUUCCUUUGAAAAGUGUGCCUUGGAUUUUCAGGUUGUGUGUGACAUUCCACUGAUUCAACAGAUAUGUCUUUGAACUCAGUGUGACUUCUUGGUUGUGGUUUGGUCCAUUCUUACUUGUCCCAUCUUUCCGGUUUCCCUUAUCUAUAUGUACAGAUCUACCUCUAUUUUCAUUUGACAGGAAGAAUCUGUUACAAUGGCCACACACAGUGGGAUAGCGCUUCUGGAAAAAGAGCCUGAACACAGUAGCCUCAGGACAAAUGGGGCUUGAGAUUUGGAAAGGGACUCCUUGUGGAAAGGAUUGUGUCUUUCAAUACAGUGAGAGGAAGACUGCAUCAGGGUGGCUGGAAACAUUCAGAUCCUUUGUUGGCAGGACUUCUACAGACUGUAGACAGAGCUAAGGGCUGUGGCUUAGCCCCUUGUGUGUCCAGUGCUGCCCGCUGUAGAGGAGCCCAGGCAUGGGCAUUGGAGCCCACACCAUCAUCUCGUGGCCUGUGUGGAAGUACAUCUGCGUUCUCUCGGGAUACCCUGGAUGCUGUGCAUAUCAAAGCCUCUGCUCUGGGACUUCCCUGGUGGUCCAGUGGUUGGGACUGCAUGCUGCCACUGCAGGGAGCCUGGGUGGGUUUGAUCUUUGGUCGGGGAACUAAGAUCCCGCAAGCCACGUGGCACUGCCAGAAAAAAGGCCUCUGCUCUCACAAGCAGCCUACCACCUGAGUUGUCCAGUUGGGAGCUGGUAGAGGUCUGGCGGCCAGUGCUUUGGCGAGAGCAGCUAUCUAAUCAGAAGCUUCAGGGAAUUUUACCCGCAAAAACUUCCACCUUCUCGAGAAAGACUGUCCUGAUCCAUCAAGAUGGUCCCAUCACCCUCCGAUCUCUGGCACCUGAGAACAAGGGACCAGAAUCUGGGUGUCUUCAAGACAUUCUCCUGAGACUUGAAGACAGCUCUGGUCCCAGUGGCAGCCAUCCAUGGUACCACCUGAUGACCAUCUUUAGAGUGGACAGAGAAACAAACAAAAACAUGUAGUAGCCAGAAUGGAGGAGCCCUAACCUAAGACACAGAUCCUGGACCAGGUUGAGGGUUUUAUGCUUUCACAGAUGCUACAGUUGAGGGCCUCCUUCUGAAAGUUGUUGGGCCCACGCUGGAGGCCUCCUCAGGCAACCGCUUGUGCUGUAAGGCAGUUCUCAACAAGCCCUAGCUGCAUCUGAGGGUGGAGAGCAAACUCCUAUUUGGGAGGAAUCCCGUGCUUCCACCAAACAGUAUGUGGAGUUAAAAUAUGAUGUUUUGGUUAUGUAGAGCCAGUGGCCAUUCUCCCAAACGUACAUAAACACAAACACACAUGUAAACACACUCACAUCAGCAUUAUUUUAACCUAAUUGAUUUUAAUGAAUUGCUGGUAUAGUUAUUCUCAUUCCCAAUUCUAAAUAGGCUUAAUUGUCUUCAUCUAGUCCACAUUUCUGAGUUUCAUAAACCUGGGUGGGAAAAGAAUACAGUAAAGUUGGUAAUUUGUGUAUUUUUUUUUAAUUUUUGAAUUGUCACGAGACCAGACUAAACUGAAAUGUUGGCAUGGUAGUAUUUUUCAUCCAAAUCAUUCCUUUCAAACACAGCUGUGUCAUCCAUCAUCUAAGUUGCUGCCGCCUUUUUUCUUAUUUUUUAAACACACCAUUUUUUAAAUGUAAAUCGGUACUUCGGCUUUGUGUUUUGUUUUCAUAUUAUGUAUAACGAUGUCUAUCUUGAAUGCUGUGGGGCUAUCAUUGUACUUCCCACUUUAUUUGAAUUGUCUUUGUCUUCUCCAACUUGUGUCAUGCCCUUCCUUUUCUGCACUUCUAUAUUUUCUGAUAUUCCCAGAUCAGAGAAGGAGUAACCAGCUAAAGAUGGUUAGUUUCCCUUCCCUUAAACCAUUAAAGUUAUGUCUCAUUUCCCUUUUGGGGAUUUUGUCAGGGAACAUUGCUUUAGAAUACAUUGUAUUUGUAUGAGACUGGCUACCCUCAGCCAAGCAUUCAGUGAUAUUGGGCAUGUGUUGUUAGAAUUCAUGGAGAGAACAUGACCUGGAUUGACCUGGGAGAUGGACCCAGGUAAUGGAACCACCUCAAACCACCCACCGAGCCUUGUCCUUGGAAUGUGCAUUCUGCUUGGCUUCCCCAAGAAGUAAGCUUAACAAGGACACAACUUUGAGAUAGCAAGAUGUUGUUGACACUUUUGGACAGUAUAGCUGACUGAACCCUUAAUGCCUCUAUGUAACCUUUUUUAAGGUUCUGGCAUACAGGUGGGAAACCUAAUCGUUUUGUGGCUGCCCAAGACAAGCUUCAGAAGUAAGUUCCCUUGCUUGUUAAACAUGCUACCUACCCUAGUGUGGUCUACCCCUUUCUUCAGACUGUUGUUGCAUGUGAGUAAUGGGGUGGGUUUCAGAUUACACCCAGGAAGCUGUCAAGAAGUUGGGACUCAAGACCGUGACGUGUGGGUAGACCCUGGACUUAUCCAUUCACCCUUAGUAUUUGAAGUAUCAUGAUCUCACCCUCAAAUGAAGGAAAUGACUUAGGCAUGGAAUGAAGUGGAUUUCUGGAGAUGCUGAGGGAUAUGUGCAGUAUACACAAGGAAGCUAACCUCUUCAUUUUGGAAAGAACACACCCAAACCGAAUCCUGAGGAACCCAGAGUGAUGGACUGCAACCGAAAGCAAACUGUUUGAGUAUGUGAAAGCUAGAGAGCCCUGAAAUAAAAUUGUACUGGCGAAAGGAUGAUGGCAGCUUCAGAAGUACCUGGUAGCCUCUGAACUUGCCUUUCAUUUAAUUUCCACUUGCUUCGUGGGAUUCCUUCAAGGUCAUAAAUUUUGAAUGAGGGUUUACCGUAGGAAGCUGUUGAAAUGGGGUGAGACAUCCUUGUACUUUUAUAAGUCCUGUGCUUCCACGAACUGAGCAAUUGGCCAGCAGUUUCUGUGCAGUCCAGGUGGCUCUCCCAACAUGGAUUCUUCAGCACAUCAAGCGGUAAGUAUACAUCAGCAUCUGGACUUCGUUGUUGGAUCAUCCAGAUGCUUUGAUGCCCUUCCAGGGUUAACGAAGGUAUAAGUGACCAUUAAGAUUGCAGUGACAGAUUUUAUUGGGCUGUGUUUCAGGAAUAAAUUGGGGAAAAAGAUUGAGAGUGGCUUGGGCAUUUUCUUGAAAUGGAAAAGGAAGUUGGUAGCCCUGUUGCCCAUCAAUGGCUUCUCUACCAAAAGUCUUAAAGUUGGUACUGUAAUUGGAUGGAAUGCUACAUAAAUUUUCAAAUGUUUUCAAUUCAGUUGAUAAAAAUAUGUUUAUUUUCCAGU